GACGUAGGGUGCGAGCGUUGUCCGGAUUUAUUGGGCGUAAAGAGCUCGUAGGCGGCUCGUCGCGUCGACCGUGAAAACCCGCGGCUUAACUGCGGGCUUGCGGUUGAUACGGGCGGGCUAGAGUUCGGUAGGGGAGACUGGAAUUCCUGGUGUAGCGGUGAAAUGCGCAGAUAUCAGGAGGAACACCGGUGGCGAAAGCGGCUUACUGGAUCUUUCUGACGCUGAGGCACGAAAGCUAGGGUAGCGAACGGG
rnacentral:rRNA from 1 species